UAUGAUUCAGGGUUCAAGCAGACAGAGAGAGUAUGAAAAAAUAAGUAGAUAGAUCUAAGAAGUUAAUUAUCGGUUGAUCCAAAUCCAGAUACAAGAUAAUGGAAGAAGGUGUUGGAAGAAAAGUUUACGAUAAAUCAAAUUUGUUAGGGUUGUUGCUGAAAAAGACUCGGAAAAGUUAGCAGUAUCGCUUAUCCUCUAACAUCCAUGCUGUCUCUGGAUCACCGGAACUUGGCGAGAGAGACAAAACACUAUUUUUUCUGAUGCCAGUGAGGAUUAGGAUAAAAGCAAGUUUGGGUGGAUACGUCGUGGUUGUGGGCCGAACUCCAGGAUGUGUACGUACAAGAUGAACGUUAUAAAAAGCUACCUUAUGCAUAGCCUGUGGAAUAUUUAGGAACAAGAAAGCUAAAUGGAUAUACAUCGCUACGCACCUCAAGACAUAAAUGAAAAGCAUCUUGCAGAUAAACCCGAUGUGUUUAUCGACAUGGAUUGAAAGGAUCUUCUGAAAUUUUGGACUACUGAAGAUAAUCAGGUAAUUUCGGAUCGCAACAGUAAAAGUAGAAUCCACCAGAAAGCCAAGCACGCAAUGGGUAGGAGUCGGAGAAACUACUCUCGAUCCGAAGCUUAAAUGGUAUGCACAUUCAUAUGUUGGUCUUUGCAAUAACUUUUCAUUCCUGCAACUUAAAAGCUAUUCAAGGUUUAUCACUUGUUUAUAUGUCUUCAACUUUUGUUGUAACAUCCAAAGUAUCUCUGUUUGGGUUCUUAUCAAUUCAAUGGAAUUUUAACUGGUGUUAUAUAUUGUAGUUGUCAAUCAAUUAUAGGUAACUAUUAUGUUUUCUGAAACAUCCUCUUAGCAUAUGAAUCCAACAAUUUCUAGAAGUUAGGGUAUAAUUUCUGAAUUGUGCUUUAUAUGUAUUGCCACUCUGAUUCAUCCACACAAAUAUGGCUAAAACCAUGGUAGGCAUUUUUUCUUUUAAGAACGACUUGACUGAUGGUGAACAUCCACAAUGACACAAAUAUGGCUAAAACCAUGGAACAUGCAUACAUCAGCUAUGCAAUCUUAUACCACACAGUAUUUCUUUUGUUAAGCAUGAUGGUGAACAUCCACAAUGAUAGACCCGUACUAUCUAGAUGUUUGAGUUGUAGAGUCACGGCUAUAUUUCGGAUAUCUCUUAUUCUCUCCUCCUUAUGUUUGACUGAGCAGAUAAUUAUUUCUCUCUUCUACUCGUCGUACAAUGUAUUCUUAGUUUAUCUCAGUUUAACAAGUAAUCCAAAUUUUUGUUUACUUUGAGCUUGGAUUUCAAAAUGUGAAUUUUAACUAAUUCAUUAAUCUUAACUAAUUCAUUCAAGGGUGAUGACAUUGAGAUACUAGAUUUCCAUUUAACUUCAAAUUCACAGUUUUUGAUUUAUCAUCAUUUCUUGGUUGAAAUUUGAGAACAGUUGUAGUUUUUAAAACUGCAUCAUAUCCACCUCAUCAAACAAUAAGUCAUGACUAUGUUCUGCCCUUAUCCACUGCAUAGAUGUUGAAUAUAAGACCACAGUGAGUCCUAAUGCCCUAACCCUAGCUAUAAAAUGGAAAAUUUUGAGAGAGAGGAGAAUAUGAUUCAGGGUUCAAAGAGAGAGAGAGUAUGAAAAAUGAAUAGAAGGUGUUGGAAGAAAUGCUUACAAUGGAUCAAAUUUGUUUAUGUUGUUGCCGAAAAAGACUCAGAAAACCAAAAAGAAAAGGAGGAAGAAGAUACAAAAUGUGGGGUAUGCAUGAUCCGUGUAUUUGGUAUGAGGGGAUUCGGAAAAGUUAGCAGUAUUGCUUAAACUGAAGAAGAUACAAUAUGGGGGAAUGCAUGAUCCGUGUAUUUGGUAUGAGGGGAUUCGGAAAAGUUAGCAGUAUCCCUUAAACUCAACGUCCUUUCUUUUUUUCAGUCUCGCUUGUUAACGUUUGACUUAGACGGGGACAAUCGGAGCUUGGCGAGAGAGGACAAGGUCUCUAUUCAGCAACAUAGAACUCUUUUGGCUCGCAACCAGAAGAUACUUUCAGUUGCCUUGCAGCUGGAACAGGUUCGCCAGAUAGCAGCUGCAGCACAAGGUGAUGCUCUACAACAAGUUGAACAAAUUGGAGCAGCUGCUGCUCCAAACAACGACGAGGAGUAGUGUGUCCAUGUAAAAGAGGAAACACUAUUUCAACUGGAUAUACUAUUAGGAUUGAAGCAAGUUUGGGUGGAUAGGGAGUGUUUGUGAGCUGAACUCCAGGAGCAAGAAAGCUAAAUGGAAAAGACAUCACUGUACCCCUCGCCAUACAAAUGAAAAACGUCCUGCAGAUAAACCCAACAUGUUAGGGGAAGGAUCUUGUGAAAUUCUGGACUGAAGAGCAGCAGGUACUUUCGGAUCACAAUAUUAAAAGUAGAAGCCACCGGAAAGCCAAGCACACAAUGGGUAACUUCCGAAAUGGCCUGAUGCUAGUUAUACUGUUUGGUCGACAAUCAAGAAAGAAAAAUCUGGAAGCAUGUUCACAGAUUGGGAUAUUCUUCCUCAUCGCACGACUAAAGACCUCGAUGGGUAAAAGGCGAAAGUCUGGGAGGAAGAGGGAGUAUAUUAAUGAUCCUAAUGCUGUUAAACCUGGGGGAUACGACCCCAUUCCAGGCGAAAUUCCUGAUCCUAAAACUAAAGAGAAAGGUCUCACUACAUGAACUUGUGUGCUGGGCUUUGAUCAGCCUAACUGGGAUGAUGAAGAAGAUGGUAUAUGGAGACCACUGAAGAUACCUAAUCUGGCUUACAAUGGAUCAUAAGGCAUGCACAUUAUGUUUCUUUGGCAGCUAAACAAGAACUUUAAGGAUGAGUUCUGGUGUUUCUGCAAAAGUGAAAUGGAUAAUGCCAAUCCCCAACUGUUCUGAAUCAGCAUAGUUUUGAGGAGAAGUCUGUACUCCCCUAAAAUUGCAAUGCAAAAUUGUUGUUGUAACAUCCGUGCUUAAUCUUAAUCGAAAAUGGCCAACUGAAUUGUGGUUUAUGAACUCCUGUGUAUUGGCACUUUGUGUGGCUAAAACCAUAGUGGGGAUUUUUUUUCAAGGAACAACUUAGUCAUGCUAAGCGGCUAUAUUUCGGAUAUCUCUUAUUCUCUCCUUGUAUAUUUAACCGAACUUAUAAUUAUUUCUCUCUUCUACUCGAUGUAAUUUCAAC